AGCGAACGCUGGCGGCAGGCUUAACACAUGCAAGUCGAGCGGGCAUCCUUGUGGUGUCAGCGGCAGACGGGUGAGGAACGCGUGGGAACGUGCCCUUCGGUUCGGAAUAACUCAGGGAAACUUGAGCUAAUACCGGAUACGUGCGAGAGCAGAAAGGUUUAUCUGCCGAAGGAUCGGCCCGCGUCUGAUUAGCUAGUUGGUGAGGUUAUGGCUCACCAAGGCGACGAUCAGUAGCUGGUCUGAGAGGAUGAGCAGCCACACUGGGACUGAGACACGGCCCAGACUCCUACGGAAGGCAGCAGUGGGGAAUAUUGGACGAGGGGGGCAACCCUGACCCAGCCAUGCCGCGUGAGUCAUCCCGGCCUUAGGGUUGUAAAGCUCUUUUCUUCGGGACGAUAAUGACGGUACCGGAGGAAUAAGCCCCGGCUAACUUCGUG
rnacentral:rRNA from 1 species